AUCGCUGGCGCGCGGGAUGCAAUAGUCCUGAUAGCUCGCCGUGAGCAGUUGUCCCGAGGAAUCGUAGACGACGCCUUCGUAAAGCGCCUGCCCGAUGCCUUGCGCGACGCCGCCAUGCACCUGACCGGUGACCAGCAUCGGAUUGAUGGCGACACCGACGUCAUCCACCGUGGUGUAACGCACCACGCGGGUCACGCCGGUUUCCGGAUCGAUUUCGACUUCGCAGANNNGUGCCGUUCGGCCAAGUCGGCCCGUCCACCUCGCCCUUGCUCUCGACGCUGAGGCGCGAGUA
rnacentral:misc_RNA from 1 species